GUAAAAUCCUGUAAUCCCGGAAGGACGACCAGUGGCGAAAGCGUUUAACUAGAACGAAUCUGACGGUAAGGAACGAAGGCUAGGGUAGCAAACCGGAUUAGAUACCCGGGUAGUCCUAGCUGUAAACAUUGCCCAUUUGAUGUUGCUUUCCCGUUGAGGGAAGGCAGUGUCGGAGCGAAGGUGUUAAAUGGGCCGCUUGGGAAGUAUGGUCGCAAGACUGAAACUUAAAGGAAUUGGCGGGGGAGCACCGCAACGGGAGGAAUGUGCGGUUUAAUUGGAUUCAACGCCGGAAAACUCACCGGGAACGACCUGUGCAUGAGAGUCAACUUGACGAGCUUACUCGAUAGCAGGAGAGGUGGUGCAUGGCCGUCGUCAGCUCGUACCGUAGGGCGUUCACUUAAGUUGUGAUAACGAGCGAGACCCACAUCUUUAAUUGGCAAUGUAUAUGGGAAUAUGCAUGCACUUUAGAGAAACCGCCGACGCUAGCUGGAGGAAGGAGUGUCGACGGCAGUCAGUAGCCCGAAAUUCCGG
rnacentral:rRNA from 1 species